rnacentral:rRNA from 1 species
GGACUACUGGGGUAUCUAAUCCUGUUUGCUCCCCUAGCUUUCGCGCCUCAGCGUCAGUUAUGGUCCAGUGAGCCGCUUUCGCCACAGGUGUUCCUUCCGAUAUCUACGCAUUUCACCGCUACACCGGAAAUUCCACUCACCUCUCCCAUACUCAAGCCCGACAGUUUCUAAUGCAGACUCUGGGUUGAGCCCAGAGAUUUCACAUCAGACUUGUCAGACCGCCUACGCGCCCUUUACGCCCAAUAAUUCCGAACAACGCUUGCCCCCCUCGUAUUACCGCGGCUGCUGGCAC